CUAAAUACUCGUGAUCGACCGAUAGUGAACCAGUACCGUGAGGGAAAGGCGAAAAGAACCCCGGGAGGGGAGUGAAAUAGAUCCUGAAACCGUGUGCAUACAAACAGUAGGAGCCUGUAUUAAUACGGGUGACUGCGUACCUUUUGUAUAAUGGGUCAGCGACUUACAUUCAGUGGCGAGGUUAACCGAAUAGGGGAGCCGAAGAGAAAUCGAGUCCGAACAGGGCGAGAGUCGCUGGGUGUAGACCCGAAACCAAGUGAUCUACUCAUGGCCAGGAUGAAGGUGCGGUAACACGCACUGGAGGUCCGAACCCACUAACGUUGAAAAGUUAGGGGAUGAGCUGUGGGUAGGGGUGAAAGGCUAAACAAACUUGGAGAUAGCUGGUUCUCUCCGAAAACUAUUUAGGUAGUGCCUCAAGUAUCACCAUUAGGGGUAGAGCACUGUUAUGGCUAGGGGGUCAUCGCGACUUACCAAACCAUUGCAAACUCCGAAUACUAAUGAGUGCGAGCUUGGGAGACAGACAUCGGGUGCUAACGUCCGGUGUCAAGAGGGAAACAACCCAGACCGCCAGCUAAGGUCCCAAAGAUUGGCUAAGUGGAAAACGAAGUGGGAAGGCUAAAACAGUCAGGAGGUUGGCUUAGAAGCAGCCAUCCUUUAAAGAAAGCGUAAUAGCUCACUGAUCGAGUCGUCCUGCGCGGAAGAUGUAACGGGGCUAAGCCAGUCACCGAAGCUGCGGAUAUCCGUAAGGAUAUGGUAGGAGAGCGUUCUGUAAGCCUGAGAAGGUGUGUUGAGAAGCAUGCUGGAGGUAUCAGAAGUGCGAAUGCUGACAUGAGUAGCGAUAAUGGGGGUGAAAAGCCCCCACGCCGUAAGCCCAAGGUUUCCUGUUCAACGUUCAUCGGAGCAGGGUGAGUCGGCCCCUAAGGCGAGGCAGAGAUGCGUAGCUGAUGGGAAGCAGGUUAAUAUUCCUGCACCGUCGUUAGAUGCGAUGGGGGGACGGAUCGCGGAAAGUCGUCCGGGUGUUGGAAAUCCCGGUUAUUGAUUCGAAGGAGGCUACUAGGCAAAUCCGGUAGCGUAAUCCAAGGAAUUGAAACGAGUGGCCUUGUGCCGCGAAGCGAUUGGAAGUGGUUCCAAGAAAAGCCUCUAAGCUUCAGUCUAACGAGACCGUACCGCAAACCGACACAGGUGGGCGAGAUGAGUAUUCUAAGGCGCUUGAGAGAACUCGGGAGAAGGAACUCGGCAAAUUUGUACCGUAACUUCGGGAUAAGGUACGCCCUUGUAUCUUGACUGGCCUGCGCCAGAAGGGAGAAGGGGUUGCAAAAAAAUGGUGGCUGCGACUGUUUAAUAAAAACACAGCACUCUGCUAACACGAAAGUGGACGUAUAGGGUGUGACGCCUGCCCGGUGCUGGAAGAUUAAAUGAUGGGGUGAGAGCUCUUGAUUGAAGUCCCAGUAAACGGCGGCCGUAACUAUAACGGUCCUAAGGUAGCGAAAUUCCUUGUCGGGUAAGUUCCGACCUG
rnacentral:rRNA from 1 species